UACCGGCAGCUCAAGUGGUAGCCGCGAUUAUUGGGCCUAAAACGUUCGUAGCCGGAUAAGUAAGUCUUUGGUUAAAUCCUGCGACUUAACCGUGGGAAAUCUAGAGAUACUGCUUGUCUUGAGACCGGGAGAGGUUGGAGGUACUCCCAGGGUAGGGGUGAAAUCCUGUAAUCCUGGGGGGACCACCUGUGGCGAAGGCGUCCAACUGGAACGGGUCUGACGGUGAGGGACGAAACCUAGGGGAGCGAGCCGGAUUAGAUACCCGGGUAGUCCUAGGCGUAAAUGAUGCGAGUUAAGUGUGGGGGCAUCCACGAGAUGGCCCUGUGCUGUAGGGUAGCCGUUAAACUCGCUGCCUGGGGA
rnacentral:rRNA from 1 species